rnacentral:misc_RNA from 1 species
GGAGGAACUACUGUCUUCCUUCGGGUCGUGCAGCCUCC